UGGGGAAUAUUGGACAAUGGGCGAAAGCCUGAUCCAGCCAUGCCGCGUGUGUGAAGAAGGUCUUCGGAUUGUAAAGCACUUUAAGUUGGGAGGAAGGGCAGUAAGUUAAUACCUUGCUGUUUUGACGUUACCGACAGAAUAAGCACCGGCUAACUCUGUGGCAG
rnacentral:rRNA from 1 species